rnacentral:rRNA from 1 species
CCAUCAGAUUCCCCUAGUAACGGCGAGUGAAGCGGGAAGAGCUCAAAUUUGAAAUCUGGUAGCCUUCGGUUGCCCGAGUUGUAAUCUAGAGAAGUGUUUUCCGUGCCGGCCCAUGUACAAGUCCCUUGGAACAGGGCGUCAUAGAGGGUGAGAAUCCCGUCCUUGACAUGGACCCCCGGUGCUCUGUGAUACACUUUCAACGAGUCGAGUUGUUUGGGAAUGCAGCUCAAAAUGGGUGGUGAAUUCCAUCUAAAGCUAAAUAUUGGCGAGAGACCGAUAGCGAACAAGUACCGUGAGGGAAAGAUGAAAAGCACUUUGGAAAGAGAGUUAAACAGUACGUGAAAUUGUUGAAAGGGAAACGAUUGAAGUCAGUCAUGCUCUUUGGUAUUUAUAUCAUUGAGUGGGGUCAACAUCAGUUUUGAGCGAUGGAUAAAGGCACUAGGAAGGUAGCACUCUCGGGUGAACUUAUAGCCUAGCGUCAUAUACAUUGUUUGGGACUGAGGAACGCAGCAUGCCUUAUGGCCGGGAUUCAUCCACCUACAUGCUUACGAUGUUGACAUAAUGGCUGUAUACGACCCGCCAUAAAAAAAGGACCAAACAAAAGAAAACCGAGAGGAACACA